UUUACCUCUUCAUCACCUCCCUCUUUAGCUCUAUCCCAAUCUAUCACCUCCCUCUUUAACCCUCCAUCACCUCCCUCUUUACCUCUCUUCCUCCCUCUUUACCUCUUCAUCACCUCCCUCUUUACCUCUAUCCCAAUCUAUCACCUCCCUCUUUAACCCUCCAUCACCCCCCUCUAUCACCUCCCUCUCUAGAUGGUCAUGUACUGUGUGUUUCAUCACUCCAGCUUGUUUCUGUUUUGUCAAAUUCAAGGCGUUACAAUUGUCCUCAGUCUCCCCUAUCUUGUGCUUACAGGCAAGGUGCACCAAUAUUACAAAACAAAUAAAAUGUUGGAUGGAUCCUAUUGACCAUUAGUUCCCAUAUUCUAGAGGUUACUCUCACCAGGCUGUAUCACCCGGCUGUGAUUGGGAGUUCCAUAGGACUUUGGCCCUGCGUCGUCCGGGUUUGGCCGGUAUCUUGAGGUUACUCUCACCACUUACAGUAAAUAUUGUUAUACACUGCCAAGGGUUGUUGUGGCAGUCCCUGCCUCUGACUGACUUAGUCUCACCGAGCUGUAUCACAACUCAACACACAACAUGAUUUGGAGUCCCACAGGGCAGCGCACAAUUGGCCCAGCGUUGUCCAGGUUUGGCCGGUGUAGGCCGUCAUUGUAAAUAAGAAUUUGUUCUUAAUGGACUUGCCUAGAUAAAUAAAGGUUUUAAAAAAAAUACACUUGUAUAUAUUGUUAUACACUGCCAAGGGUUGUUGUGGCAGUCCCUGCCUCUGACUGACUUACUGGGAACUUUCGUGUUGCACUAAACGUUCUGUAUGGUGACUAAUAGGAUGCACGAGUCUGUUCUUACCCUCAUUACGCAAGCCUGCAAAUAAUAUGUAUCCCCAUUAUAACUAACGAGCAGUGCUGUAAUCAGAGCCUGAUGGGACGGAUGGCUCUCCC
rnacentral:lncRNA from 13 species